rnacentral:rRNA from 1 species
GACGAACGCUGGCGGCGUGCCUAAUACAUGCAAGUCGAGCGGAGAUUUGGGAGCUUGCUCCCAAAUCUUAGCGGCGGACGGGUGAGUAACACGUGGGCAACCUGCCCUGCAGACUGGGAUAACUCCGGGAAACCGGAGCUAAUACCGGGUAAUACAUCGCACCGCAUGGUGCAAUGUUGAAAGUUGGCUUUCGAGCUAACACUGCAGGAUGGGCCCGCGGCGCAUUAGCUAGUUGGUAAGGUAAUGGCUUACCAAGGCGACGAUGCGUAGCCGACCUGAGAGGGUGAUCGGCCACACUGGGACUGAGACACGGCCCAGACUCCUACGGGAGGCAGCAGUAGGGAAUCUUCCGCAAUGGACGAAAGUCUGACGGAGCAACGCCGCGUGAGUGACGAAGGCCUUCGGGUCGUAAAGCUCUGUUGUUAGGGAAGAACAAGUACCGUUCGAAUAGGGCGGUACCUUGACGGUACCUAACCAGAAAGCCACGGCUAACUACGUGCCAGCAGCCGCGGUAAUACGUAGGUGGCAAGCGUUGUCCGGAAUUAUUGGGCGUAAAGCGCGCGCAGGCGGUCUUUUAAGUCUGAUGUGAAAGCCCACGGCUCAACCGUGGAGGGUCAUUGGAAACUGGAGGACUUGAGUGCAGAAGAGGAGAGUGGAAUUCCACGUGUAGCGGUGAAAUGCGUAGAUAUGUGGAGGAACACCAGUGGCGAAGGCGGCUCUCUGGUCUGU